rnacentral:rRNA from 1 species
CUACGGGUGGCACCAGCAGGGAAUAUUGCACAAUGGACGGAAGUCUGAUGCAGCGACGCCGCGUGGAUGAUGAAGGCCCUCGGGUUGUAAAAUCCUUUUCAGGGGGACGAGGCAGGACGGUACCCUUGGAAUAAGCGAUCGGCUAACUACGUGCCAGCAGCCGCGGUAAGACGUAGGACGCAAGCGUUAUCCGGAUUUACUGGGCGGAAAGCGUCUGUAGGCGGACCGGAAAGUUGGGCGUGAAAGCUCCGGGCUCAACCCGGGGAGGACGUUCGAUACUGGCGGACUAGAGGGCAUCAGAGGAGCGUGGAAUUUCCGGUGUAGCGGUAAAAUGCGCAGAUAUCGGAAGGAACACCAAUGGCGAAGGCAGCGCUCUGGGAUGUACCUGACGCUAAGAGACGAAAGCUAGGGGAGCGAACAGGAUUAGAUACCCGAGUAGUC